rnacentral:rRNA from 1 species
AGAGUUUGAUCCUGGCUCAGGAUGAACGCUGGCGGUAUGCUUAACACAUGCAAGUCGAACGCAGUCCUUCGGGGCUGAGUGGCGGACGGGUGAGUAACGCGUGAGAAUCUGCCUAAAGGACUGGGACAACAGCUGGAAACGGCUGCUAAUACCAGAUAUGCCAGAAAGUGAAAAGGGGUAACCCGCCUUUUGAUGAGCUCGCGUCUGAUUAGCUAGUUGGUAGGGUAAAGGCCUACCAAGGCUCCGAUCAGUAACUGGUCUGAGAGGAUGACCAGUCACACUGGGACUGAGACACGGCCCAGACUCCUACGGGAGGCAGCAGUGGGGAAUUUUCCGCAAUGGGCGCAAGCCUGACGGAGCAAUACCGCGUGAGGGAGGAAGGCUCUUGGGUCGUAAACCUCUUUUCUCAGGGAAGAACACAAUGACGGUACCUGAGGAAUCAGCAUCGGCUAACUCCGUGCCAGCAGCCGCGGUAAUACGGAGGAUGCAAGCGUUAUCCGGAAUGAUUGGGCGUAAAGCGUCCGCAGGUGGCAGUGUAAGUCUGCUGUCAAAGGUCAGGGCUCAACCCUGAACAGGCAGUGGAAACUACACAGCUAGAGUGCGGUGGGGGCAGAGGGAAUUCCCAGUGUAGCGGUGAAAUGCGUAGAGAUUGGGAAGAACACCGGUGGCGAAAGCGCUCUGCUAGGCCGCAACUGACACUCAUGGACGAAAGCUAGGGGAGCGAAUGGGAUUAGAUACCCCCGUAGUCC